GACUAGUGACAGAGUGAGGGGAUGACUGGUGACAGAGUGAGGGGAUGACUGGUGACAGAGGGAGGGAGUGACUAGUGACAGAGGGAGGGAGUGACUAGUGACAGAGUGAGGGAGGGGGUGACUGUCACUAGUCACCCCAUCCCUCUCUCUGUCACUAGUCACUCCCUCCCUAACUCUGUCACUUUGUCACCCGCUCCCUCACUCUGUCACUAGUCACCCCCUCACUCACUCUGUCACUAAUCACCCCCUCUGUCCCUAGUCACCCCCUUCCUCACUCUGUCACUAGUCACCCCAUCCCUCUCUCUGU